rnacentral:rRNA from 1 species
GAUGAACGCUGGCGGCGUGCCUAAUACAUGCAAGUCGAGCGAACGGACGAGAAGCUUGCUUCUCUGAUGUUAGCGGCGGACGGGUGAGUAACACGUGGAUAACCUACCUAUAAGACUGGGAUAACUUCGGGAAACCGGAGCUAAUACCGGAUAAUAUUUUGAACCGCAUGGUUCAAAAGUGAAAGACGGUCUUGCUGUCACUUAUAGAUGGAUCCGCGCUGCAUUAGCUAGUUGGUAAGGUAACGGCUUACCAAGGCAACGAUGCAUAGCCGACCUGAGAGGGUGAUCGGCCACACUGGAACUGAGACACGGUCCAGACUCCUACGGGAGGCAGCAGUAGGGAAUCUUCCGCAAUGGGCGAAAGCCUGACGGAGCAACGCCGCGUGAGUGAUGAAGGUCUUCGGAUCGUAAAACUCUGUUAUUAGGGAAGAACAUAUGUGUAAGUAACUGUGCACAUCUUGACGGUACCUAAUCAGAAAGCCACGGCUAACUACGUGCCAGCAGCCGCGGUAAUACGUAGGUGGCAAGCGUUAUCCGGAAAUUAUGGGCGUAAAGCGCGCGUAGGCGGUUUUUUAAGUCUGAUGUGAAAGCCCACGGCUCACCCGUGGAGGGUCAUUGGAAACUGGAAAACUUGAGUGCAGAAGAGGAAAGUGGAAUUCCAUGUGUAGCGGUGAAAUGCGCAGAGAUAUGGAGGAACACCAGUGGCGAAGGCGACUUUCUGGUCUGUAACUGACGCUGAUGUGCGAAAGCGUGGGGAUCAAACAGGAUUAGAUACCCUGGUAGUCCACGCCGUAAACGAUGGGUGCUAAGUGUUAGGGGGUUUCCGCCCCUUAGUGCUGCAGCUAACGCAUUAAGCACUCCGCCUGGGGAGUACGACCGCAAGGUUGAAACUCAAAGGAAUUGACGGGGACCCGCACAAGCGGUGGAGCAUGUGGUUUAAUUCGAAGCAACGCGAAGAACCUUACCAAAUCUUGACAUCCUUUGACAACUCUAGAGAUAGAGCUUUCCCCUUCGGGGGACAAAGUGACAGGUGGUGCAUGGUUGUCGUCAGCUCGUGUCGUGAGAUGUUGGGUUAAGUCCCGCAACGAGCGCAACCCUUAAGCUUAGUUGCCAUCAUUAAGUUGGGCACUCUAAGUUGACUGCCGGUGACAAACCGGAGGAAGGUGGGGAUGACGUCAAAUCAUCAUGCCCCUUAUGAUUUGGGCUACACACGUGCUACAAUGGACAAUACAAAGGGCAGCGAAACCGCGAGGUCAAGCAAAUCCCAUAAAGUUGUUCUCAGUUCGGAUUGUAGUCUGCAACUCGACUACAUGAAGCUGGAAUCGCUAGUAAUCGUAGAUCAGCAUGCUACGGUGAAUACGUUCCCGGGUCU